rnacentral:rRNA from 1 species
UCCGUAGGUGAACCUGCGGAAGGAUCAUUAAAAACUUUUAUCCGGGAAUUCGUUUCGUUUUCCCGGAUUAUUUGUAUUCAAAUCCCACUCUUUAUAAAUAAUAUCAAUUAUAUAAAACAAAUAUAAAAAAGAAAACUUUCAACAACGGAUCUCUUGGCUCUCGCAUCGAUGAAGAACGCAGCGAAAUGCGAUACGUAAUGUGAAUUGCAGAAUUCCGUGAAUCAUCGAAUCUUUGAACACAAAUUGUACUUUUCAGUAAUCUGGAAAGUAUGCUUGGUUGAGGGUCAUUAAAAUAACAUUCGUGAAUUUUUUCGCGGAUUUGAGUUUUCCAGUAUUCAUUAUAAAAUAAAUGUUGGUAACUUUAAAAUUAUUUAUAACUUGGUACAAGCUGAAAACGUGCUAUAUGUGUGGUUCGCUGACAACUUGUCCAUCUUUAUAUAUUAUGCGCGUGCUUGGCUUUUUAAAGUUCUGUGCGAGUAUAUAUUUUUUUAUGACCUCAGCUCAAGCAAGAAAACCCGCUGAACUUAAGCAUAUCAAUAAGCGGAGGA